UCCACUUCCAUUGCAGUCCUGAUACCCCGCGGAAGUUGUUCGUGUGUGAAGUAAGAACGGGAUGUUUGUGUGAAAUACGUCGACAUUUUACUGUACUUUUUUGACGGUUUGAUAAUCUGUUGCAGAAACAGAUGAACGUUCGUUGGAGCAAAAUGUUGGAGUGUGGCAUGCUGGAGCGGGACAGACGCGCUCUUCGGAGAUGCUCCAAAAUUCUCUGCAAACAGCUGGUGGUGGAUGAGCUGCUCAUACAGUCCUUACAGGCAGACAACAUCCUAACCGAAAGCAUGGCAGAGAGCAUCAUGGCUGAGCAAACAUCUCAGAAACGAAGCUGGCGCUUACUACUAUUCUUGCCAAAACGGGGACCCAGAGCCUUUAGCAGCUUCUGCUCAGCUCUGCGAGAAACUGAGCAGCAGCAUCUGUAUGACCUGCUGACACAAUCCCCAGAAAAGGAUGGCAGAGAUACGCCUGUAGAGAUUAUUCAGCCUGAGGAAGAGCCCGAGGGAAAUACAGGCCGACUAGUAAUGGCGACAACAGAAAAGAAGAGUGAGACAUCCUCAGUAGACAGAGAAGAAGAGAGUGUGGUGAGCAGCACCUCGUCAUGUCCAGUCCAAACCUCAGAAAGCUGCCUGCGCUCAGAGUCACCAUUCAGAGAAUUAAUCCCAGUCAGGGAGGAAGACAGGAUGACAGAGAGACAGAGGACAAAGAAAAGAGGAAGAGAUAAACAGACAGAUAGGUGUGUGGACUAUUCUCUUCCACUUCCCACCCAAGAAGAAAUUGUUGCCAAGAGACCAAGGACACAUGCAGAGUCCAUGGAGUUUAGUCUGGAUGCAGAUAGUCCCAUCAACACUCCUGUGCUCCCGUGCACUCCCGACUUUUACCUCUCUCACUGCCAUCAGUCUUACAGAAUGAAUUCAUCCCCUCGUGGUCUUGCUUUGGUGAUCAGUAACGUGACCUUUGAUCCUUGUGCGGCGCCGGACCUUGACCCUAGGAAGGGAGGUGAGGUGGACGACGAGGUCCUCAGGAAGGUCUUCACAGAGCUGGACUAUCUGGUUACAGUCCACAGAGACCUCACUGCUCAGGGCAUGAGGUCGUGCAUUGAGAACUUUUGCCGUCGACCAGACCACCGGACAGUGGACAGCUGUGUGGUGUGUCUGCUCUCCCACGGAGUGGAUGGAGCUAUAUAUGGUACAGAUGGACAGCUGGUGCAGCUGGACUGGGUGUUUAAGUCCUUUGACAAUGCACACUGUCCCCUGCUGCAGAACAAGCCAAAGAUCUUUUUCAUCCAGGCCUGCAGAGGAGAGGAGAUGGACUGUGGAGUCGAGCAGAUAGAUGGGCCAGCGAGGACCUGCUCACCAUGCUGUGAACAGCUGGAUGCUGGAAGGGAAGGACAGGGGGAUGCACACUCUAGACCGAGAGGGGACAUGGGGAGGCCCAGGAUUAAACUGCCCCAGCGGUCUGACAUGCUCUGUGGCUUUGCAUCUCUCAAAGGUCAGAGAAUUUGCACAGCAGCCAUGCGGAACACCAAGAGAGGAUCCUGGUUCAUCCAGGAACUUAACACAACACUGCGCCUCCAAGCCAGAGACACACACCUUGCAGACAUCAUGGUGCAGGUCAACAGGCGUAUUAAGGAGCGGGAGGGUUAUGCUCCUGGCACCGCCCACCAUCGCUGCAAAGAGAUGUCAGAGUUCACCAGCUCAUUGUGCAAAGACCUCUACCUUUUCCCCAAGUACCAGCCCCAGUAUUGACUAACACAGACACACACACACACACACACACAAACGCAGCAUUCCUUGCAUUUAAGCCUCUCAAUAAGGGCACACAAUGGUUCAUUCCACUCUAAUUACUGCCACACACUCACACAUUCCUCUGUUACAACUACACUUCCAAACAGAGGAUUUAUUCAUUCAUAUUUUCUGUGUAAAUACUGCCUCCUCAGACAUGCACACACUUGUGCAUACACUCACCGAAAUCUUGGAAAGAAAAAAGGAGCAAGCUUAUGUUAAUCUACAUGUACUCAGAAAUGGGCAACACAUUAGCAUACAACUUACUUGCGUGUCUGUGUCAAUGCCAGUUAGAGGGUUUAGUUGAUAAUCCUUUUUAGACAAAGACAGAAUCGUAUUUUAUUGUUUUCCUACUGCACAGCUACAGUACUUUGAAGUUUCACUCUCUCUUUUUAAGAUGUAUUUUGUACACAGAUCUAUUUUUGUGGCUUUAUUUUGUAUGAAAUUGUUUUUAUGAGCAUUUUUAAACCCAUUCUCUUUAUUUGUAUGUUAGUAUGUAAGUUUGUUAUAAUUUGUGACCAUUUCUUGUUUUUAGUAUAGUGCCAGGCAGGGGGCAGCACAGCAAAGACAAAUGCAUUUUAUCGUCUCUCUUUCAUAAAUAUUCAUGUUUUUCACUUCAAAUUGAUCAUCACAAUGAUGAUUAAACGGUAUUUUCUCUGCAACGGGUUUUAAAAAAAUAUAUAUUUUUAAGGACAAAAACCUACAGGGCAGCUUCACAAGACCUUGAAUUCUUUCAGUCAUUUAUUUUUUCGCUUUCAUUUGUGGAUGUUCAAUCAGGAAAAAUUUUCUUUUAAACCUUAAAUUCUAUAAAGAGGGCAUCCACUGUAAAUUUCACUUCAUAUCAGCUGUGUUACUGUAGAUCCGUCCCUGUCAGAGUGGGCUGCCUGGGGAAUGUGGUGCUACUUGUGGGGUCACACAUCUACAGUGUGAACUCUGACCUUUACGCUAACUCUGACUCCUAAUAGUGUUUCUCCCAAUGUGGGAGCUGCACAUUUAGUUAGUCCCUCUACAGUUUUUGUGGUAUUUUACUGUAUCUGAUACAGUACAGAUAAAAAUGUAUUUUGUAUGUCUUCCAUAAACAAUAUGCAGUUUUCUACAGCAGCCUGUGCCAUGUGAGGAUAAUCUAUUAGAUGAAUUUAUGACCAUGGAGCUUUCAUUGUAUCUUUUUUGGCAUCCCCCACACAGAGAAAACCAGUUCUCAAGGCUGUGGAAGCAUGAGGUUUCCCAGAAAAGCCCUGAUCAGGCAAAUUGUGUUUUGUUACUACAGUGUUGUAGUCAGUCCCUCCAGGAUUUCGCAGCAUAUUUGGGGGAUCGUUGCAGCCCAAAAUGCCAGAUUUUGCUGGAGCAUUUGUAAAAAAAUUGCGAUGAAAUUGCAAGGUCGCACUACGAGCACGCACAGACCCUGGCCUGGAAGGUGAUCACCCUUCUUAUCCUUUGAUUUUUGAAAUUAUUUAAACACAAACAUUGGAGAAGUAUAAAAGGGUUACUCUCCUGCCAUGUGAGACGGUUUGAAGGUUGAUAUUUGCUGCCAAGCUCUGCGGAGUAGCAGGGUUGGGGGGGCAAGGAGAGCUUUUAUUUCUGUCAACACCAAUGACUGCCAAAUGUUCUAUACAAUAAACCAACUGUUUUUUUUUUUUUUUAAAACAAGACAAACUGUUGUUGUUUUUUUCUUACAAUUGCAUGUGCAUACGAGUGUAUUUGCAUUUUCCUGUGACUGUUUUUUUUGCGCAUAUGUUUAGUUGAAGCUGAAUCCUGCACCUUGAGUGUAAGGCCUCAGCAUAAAUGUACUCUCCUGUGCAUGCUCCACUCUAUUUGAUCCUCCUUGUUGCUGUGUUUGUAUGUUGUUCCCCACGUACAGCCUGUCCGCUCUGUUCUCCAGUAUAGUAUAACUGGCUCCCUACUAUUCCGCUGCGCUCAGGUCUCUCCAUGCUGUGACUGGGACGUAUGUAUCUCUCACACUGCCCACCGCCCAGUGAUAAUGUUCUUAGUGUAUCAGAUAGAGGCCCAGCCAGCUGUCCACAGUCAUUCUCCCUUGACACACACAUACACACACCGUUGGUCAGAGUAACACAUUUCUCGCUGGCCUCCGGUGUAGCUGUGAGAUUAGGUUGUUAUGUGCUGGCGUGUGGACACAAAGCAGGGCAGGGUGUCUUUGUGUGUCUGUGGCUGUCAUAAUGGCCGCCUGUUUUAUCAGCCUGAGGGAAAGGACCAUAGGACGAGUUAGUUUAGAUUAACUUGUCUGAGUGGGAUGUUGUCUUUUCGGGGUGCUGAGCAGUAGUGGUCUACUCAGACGGCCUGUGGGCUUUUCAGCUUUAAGUGAAUGAUGUGCAGCACAUAUGAGAUUAGCUCCCUUCCUGUAUUACCUCUAGAUAUCUGAACCUGCUGAAGAGGUUAAGCAAUAUGGAGAUCACUUUACCAAGCUCUGCAGAGGGUCCUGCAAGCAUUUUUUUUUAUUUGGGGGGGGGUUACCAUGGGAGGGCACAUUUGUGGCGAUUUUAUUUUUCCCUAAGGAGAACUGCCAUAGCAUGUGAGUGUUAUGGGGAUUGCCUUGCAUCAUUGGCUGAUUAGGUGUGAGCUGUCAUAGGGGUGUCAUAUGCACCUUCCAGCUCACGUUGCAGGGGCAGCCCUAUGGGGGGGUGCCCUUCCAACCCCCAUCCAAACACACACCUAAUGGUCGGCUGGCAGGGAGGUGCUACUAAGGGCAACAAGGUCUGCAGUGGAGUUGGAUGACUCGCAGCCUCUGGAUCAUCUGGAGAAGAGUGCGUUCGGGAAGGACGUCA